GCCAGGGUGGUAUAGUGGCUUGAGUGUUGGACUAUGACUCUGGUGACCAGGGUUCAAAUCCCAGCUUGGCCA